rnacentral:rRNA from 1 species
UGGGGAAUUUUGGACAAUGGGGGAAACCCUGAUCCAGCCAUCCCGCGUGUGCGAUGAAGGCCUUCGGGUUGUAAAGCACUUUUUGCAGGAAAGAAACGUCAUGGGUUAAUACCCCGUGAAACUGACGGUACCUGCAGAAUAAGCACCGGCCAACUACGUGCCAGCAGCCGCGGUAAUACGUAGGGUGCAAGCGUUAAUCGGAAUUACUGGGCGUAAAGCGUGCGCAGGCGGUUCGGAAAGAAAGAUGUGAAAUCCCAGGGCUCAACUUUGGAACUGCAUUUUUAACUACCGGGCUAGAGUGUGUCAGAGGGAGGUGGAGUUCCGGGUGUAGCAGUGAAAUGCGUAGAUAUGCGGAGGAACACCGAUGGCGAAGGCAGCCUCCUGGGAUAACACUGACGCUCAUGCACGAAAGCGUGGGGAGCAAACAGG